rnacentral:rRNA from 1 species
UGGGGAAUAUUGCACAAUGGGCGCAAGCCUGAUGCAGCAACGCCGCGUGAACGAUGAAGGUCUUCGGAUCGUAAAGUUCUGUUGCAGGGGAAGAUAAUGACGGUACCCUGUGAGGAAGCCCCGGCUAACUACGUGCCAGCAGCCGCGGUAAUACGUAGGGGGCUAGCGUUAUCCGGAUUUACUGGGCGUAAAGGGUGCGUAGGUGGUCUUUCAAGUCGGUGGUUAAAGCCCACGGCUCAACCGUGGAGGGUCAUUGGAAACUAAUAAACUUGAGUGCAGGAGAGAAAAGUGGAAUUCCUAGUGUAGCGGUGAAAUGCGUAGAGAUUAGGAGGAACACCGGUGGCGAAAGCGGCUUUUUGGCCUGCAACUGACACUGAGGCGCGAAAGCGUGGGGAGCAAACAGG